rnacentral:tRNA from 1 species
UAGAAAGUAGUAAAAUGGAAUUACGCAGAGUUUUGAUCUCUAAGAUGUAGGUUCAAUUCCUAUUUUUCUAA